AAAACAUUUCUUUUAGUGCGUUUUAAAAGUAUAACCUGCCCACUGAAGUUUUAAGGGCCGCGGUAUUUUGACCGUGCUAAGGUAGCAUAAUCAUUAGUCUUUUAAUUAAGGAAUAGAAUGAAUGGUUGAACAUAAAAUUUUUUUUUGGGAAAAUUAUUUUGAAUUUUAAAUAAAAGUGAAAAUUCUUUUUAUUAUUUAAAAGACGAUAAGACCCUAUAGAGUUUUAUAGCUUAAAAUUAAUUUGUUUUUAGGUUUAAAAUGUUUUUUUAUACCGUUAUUUAGUUGGGGCAACUUCAGAAUAAUAUAAUCUUCUGAUUAAAAGUUAAUUUAAUCUUAAAUUUUAAAAAUUAAAAAAUUACCUUAGGGAUAACAGCGUAAUUAUUUUUGAGAGUUCUUAUCGAUAAAAUUGUUUGCGACCUCGAUGUUGAAUUAAAAUAUUAUUAUUGAGCAAAAUUUUUAAUAAAAAGUCUGUUCGACUUUUAAUUUUUUACAUGAUUUGAGUUCAAAACCGG
rnacentral:rRNA from 1 species